rnacentral:rRNA from 1 species
ACUCCUACGGGAGGCAGCAGUAGGAAUCUUCCGCAAUGGACGAAAGUCUGACGGAGCAACGCCGCGUGAACGAUGAAGGUCUUCGGAUCGUAAAGUUCUGUUGUUGGGGAAGAACAAGUGCCAGAGGAAAUUGCUGGUACCUUGACGGUACCCAACCAGAAAGCCACGGCUAACUACGUGCCAGCAGCCGCGGUAAUACGUAGUGGCAAGCGUUGUCCGGAAUUAUUGGGCGUAAAGCGCGCGCAGGCGGUUCCUUAAGUCUGAUGUGAAAGCCCACAGCUCAACUGUGGAGGGCCAUUGGAAACUGGGGAACUUGAGUACAGGAAGAGGAGAGUGGAAUUUCCACGUGUAGCGGUGAAAUGCGUAGAGAUGUGGAGGAACACCAGUGGCGAAGGCGACUCUCUGGUCUGUAACUGACGCUGAGGCGCGAAAGCGUGGGUAGCAAACAGGAUUAGAUACCCUGGUA